rnacentral:piRNA from 1 species
UAUGUCUCUAUGGACAAUGCUGCACAGCCU